rnacentral:rRNA from 1 species
GCUCAGAACUCAAAGGAAUUGACGGGGCCGCACAAGCGGUGGAGUAUGUGGUUUAAUUCGAUGCAACGCGAAGAACCUUACCUGGUCUUGACAUCCCGGAGACCCUUAGGAAACUAGGGGGUGCUUCCAUCUGGAAGAAUCUGGAGACAGGUGCUGCAUGGCUGUCGUCAGCUCGUGUCGUGAGAUGUUGGGUUAAGUCCCGCAACGAGCGCAACCCUUGCCUUUAGUUGCCAGCAGUUCGGCUGGGCACUCUAAAGGGACUGCCGGUGUUAAACCGGAGGAAGGUGGGGAUGACGUCAAGUCCUCAUGGCCUUUAUGACCAGGGCUACACACGUACUACAAUGGCCGAUACAAAGGGCAGCGACACUGCGAGGUGAAGCCAAUCCCGUAAAAUCGGUCUCAGUCCGGAUUGGAGUCUGCAACUCGACUCCAUGAAGUUGGAAUCGCUAGUAAUCGUGGAUCAGCAUGCCACGGUGAAUACGUUCCCGGGCCUU